GCUAGCUCAUGAGAAUCACCUUAUGCUGCACUUUCCACCAGAGUUCCUUAGGACACCAGAAUUGAAAUCAGUGGAAAUUUUGGAGGUGUGAAGAACUACUCAGAAGAAGCAAGGAUUAUGCAGGAUGUCACUGGAGGUAAACAAGCAACAGAGAAGACAGGAUACACUGCUUCUGCAUGCUGUAGGCUCAAGAUUGCUGUGAAAGGUCAUGCCAUUCUAUUUCCACUGACUUCUGAAACUUUUUUCUUAAUCUGUAGUUAUAAUUUCCUUACAAAGUCAUCCUCCCUUUUCUUUCCUCUCCCCCCACAAUAAAUAAAUAAAUAAAUAAAUAAAUAAUUUUUUUAAAUAUUA
rnacentral:lncRNA from 1 species